CUUCCAGCGUGUAACUGACGCUAAAGCUCGAAAGUGCGGGUAUCGAACAGGAUUAGAUACCCUGGUAGUCCGCACGGUAAACGAUGGAUGCCCGCUGUUGGCGAUACAGUGUCAGCGGCCAAGCGAAAGCGUUAAGCAUCCCACCUGGGGAGUACGCCGGCAACGGUGAAACUCAAAGGAAUUGACGGGGGCCCGCACAAGCGGAGGAACAUGUGGUUUAAUUCGAUGAUACGCGAGGAACCUUACCCGGGCUUGAACUGCAGGAGAACGAUUCAGAGAUGAUGAGGUCCUUCGGGACUCCUGUGGAGGUGCUGCAUGGUUGUCGUCAGCUCGUGCCGUGAGGUGUCGGCUUAAGUGCCAUAACGAGCGCAACCCUUUCUGGUAGUUGCCAUCAGGUUAUGCUGGGCACUCUGCCAGUACUGCCACCGUAAGGUGUGAGGAAGGUGGGGAUGACGUCAAAUCAGCACGGCCCUUACGUCCGGGGCUACACACGUGUUACAAUGGGUGGUACAGAGAGUUGGUCGCAGGCAAUUGCGAUCUAAUCCUUAAAGCCAUCCUCAGUUCGGAUUGGGGUCUGCAACCCGACCCCAUGAAGCUGGA
rnacentral:rRNA from 1 species